rnacentral:rRNA from 1 species
UACGGAGGGGGCUAGCGUUGUUCGGAAUUACGGGGCGUAAAGCGCGCGUAGGCGGACCUGCAAGUCGGGGGUGAAAGCCCGAGGCUCAACCUCGGAACUGCCUUCGAUACUGCGGGUCUAGAGGCCGAGAGAGGUGAGUGGAAUUCCCAGUGUAGAGGUGAAAUUCGUAGAUAUUGGGAAGAACACCAGUGGCGAAGGCGGCUCACUGGCUCGGUUCUGACGCUGAGGCGCGAAAGCGUGGGGGGCAAACAGG